rnacentral:rRNA from 1 species
UACGUAGGGUGCAAGCGUUGUCCGGAAUUAUUGGGCGUAAAGAGCUCGUAGGCGGUUUGUUGCGUCGGCUGUGAAAUCCCGAGGCUCAACCUCGGGUCUGCAGUCGAUACGAGCAAACUAGAGUGUUGCAGGGGAGACUGGAAUUCCUGGUGUAGCGGUGAAAUGCGCAGAUAUCAGGAGGAACACCGAUGGCGAAGGCAGGUCUCUGGGCCACUACUGACGCUGAGGAACGAAAGCUAGGGGAGCAAACAGG